rnacentral:lncRNA from 1 species
AAACAGAUGUGGAGAGAUGGUAACCGAAUAUUUUUCCGCACCUCUGUUGUCGAAAACAACAGUAUUGUUUUAACAGGUGGAUUCAUGGAUCUGACAGAAGUCACUGCUGCUUCAAAAGUAGUCUUGAAAGCAGCUGCGGCUGAUGAAAGUUUACCCAGUGAUGCAGUGUUUACUGGCAUGCAAGAAAGAAUUGACAGUGACAAGGAGUGUGUAAAAAAAUCAUGCCGUUUUUGUAUACAAUAUCACCAAGGAUAAAAACGUUGUUGCAACUUGGACCUGUGAUCUGAAACAAGGGAAAGUAUAUAAAGGACUUCCAGUAGGUGGUGCGAAGCUGAUACAACCCUCACCGUUGAUGAUGAAGAUAUGAUCGACAUUGUGAGUGCUGUUUUUUGACCUUUCUUAGAAAAGUAAAAUGAGCUGCUUGUAUCGAUCAAGUGUGCACCAAAAAUUUGUAACUCAGCCUUUGUUUUAUUUUUUUUCCAAAAUUUAGGUAACCUCAGCACAUUUUUUAUUUUCUCAUCACUCUUCUUUUGUCCUUGCUCAUAUUUUAAUUUGCAGUAUGUUGAUACGUUCCAUGCUAACAAGUUUUAGCGUAAUUGUCUCUGCCAGGUCAGAAAAAAUGUGCAAAAAAAAAGUAGUAAAAUUGGAAUGCUUCAAACUUUGGCCUCCUCUGAUUACUGCAAGAGGGCUAAGUAACGACAGCGGCUAACAGACAAUUUAAGCGAAAAUGAGUUGGUGAUUUUCCUGCAUCUUACAGCACUAAAUACGCAAGCCAGGGUGUCUACCAGUCCGUAAAGUCCGGAAAAAGUACGCAUUUUUUAAGGUUGGUCCGUAAGUACCUUAAAAGUACGUAAAUCUCGUGGAAGGUCCGUAUUUUUCGCAUUUUGCGCUGCGCGUUCAGUUCGAUCGCCUGAUAGUUAUGCAACCCUCUCUGCGUUGUCCGUCAGGCGUAUUAGUACAAUGUCAACGUAAGAGCGCGGUUGUUGUAGAGGAGCAGAACCAUAGAUUAGUCCAGAUCCGCCGGAAGAG